UACGAAGGUGGCUAGCGUUACUCGGAAUCACUGGGCGUAAAGCGCGUGUAGGCGGUACAAUAAGUCAGGGGUGAAAUCCCGGAGCUUAACUCCGGAACUGCCUUUGAAACUGUUGUGCUUGAACUUGGUAGAGGAGUAUGGAAUUCCGUGUGUAGAGGUGAAAUUCGUAGAUAUACGGAGGAACACCAGUGGCGAAGGCGGUACUCUGGGCCAAUGUUGACGCUGAGACGCGAAAGCGUGGGGAUCAAACAGG
rnacentral:rRNA from 1 species